rnacentral:misc_RNA from 1 species
GAAGCCUGUCAAUUGCCGAGAUCAUUCCUGUGGAGACCCAUAGAGCAAUAAAUCCGGCAACUCCAAGCGUAGUCACUGCAUACUUGUCUUCUAAUUUAUCCCAAGCUUCUUGUAUGGUCUUCACAAUUUCUGGAACCUCAGUUGAAACUUCAGCGGGUGCAUCUCCCGUGGACCUGGAAAUAGUAUUCCGUGCGAUUCUACGACAAAGCACAGCUGUCGGAGCCGCAACGACGGCGGAGCGCCUCAGCGCCGGCAACCCGACGCAAACUAGGGCUGACGUGGCGUGCCUAGCAGGCCUCAAAUCCGCUGCCGGAGCAGGGGAGGAGAGCACAGCGGUGGCGGCCAUUGCGGCAGAGGCCAUGGAUGGGUAAAUUUGUGGGAGAGAUUGGCGGAUUUCUGCUGAUUAGGGUUAGGGUUUAAAUCGGC